rnacentral:rRNA from 1 species
CAUGCAAGUCGAGGGGAAACGACAUCGAAAGCUUGCUUUUGAUGGGCGUCGACCGGCGCACGGGUGAGUAACGCGUAUCCAACCUGCCCACCACUUGGGGAUAACCUUGCGAAAGUAAGACUAAUACCCAAUGACGUCUCUAGAAGACAUCUGAAAGAGAUUAAAGAUUUAUCGGUGAUGGAUGGGGAUGCGUCUGAUUAGCUUGUUGGCGGGGUAACGGCCCACCAAGGCUACGAUCAGUAGGGGUUCUGAGAGGAAGGUCCCCCACAUUGGAACUGAGACACGGUCCAAACUCCUACGGGAGGCAGCAGUGAGGAAUAUUGGUCAAUGGACGAGAGUCUGAACCAGCCAAGUAGCGUGCAGGAUGACGGCCCUAUGGGUUGUAAACUGCUUUUAUAAGGGAAUAAAGUGAGUCUCGUGAGACUUUUUGCAUGUACCUUAUGAAUAAGGACCGGCUAAUUCCGUGCCAGCAGCCGCGGUAAUACGGAAGGUCCGGGCGUUAUCCGGAUUUAUUGGGUUUAAAGGGAGCGUAGGCCGGAGAUUAAGCGUGUUGUGAAAUGUAGAUGCUCAACAUCUGCACUGCAGCGCGAACUGGUUUCCUUGAGUACGCACAAAGUGGGCGGAAUUCGUGGUGUAGCGGUGAAAUGCUUAGAUAUCACGAAGAACUCCGAUUGCGAAGGCAGCUCACUGGAGCGCAACUGACGCUGAAGCUCGAAAGUGCGGGUAUCGAACAGGAUUAGAUACCCUGGUAGUCCGCACGGUAAACGAUGGAUGCCCGCUGUUGGUCUGAAUAGGUCAGCGGCCAAGCGAAAGCAUUAAGCAUCCCACCUGGGGAGUACGCCGGCAACGGUGAAACUCAAAGGAAUUGACGGGGG